GAACGGCGGCGGCGACCACGACUACGCGCUCCCCGUCUCGGCGGAAGGCGCGGCGGACAAGCGGCCCCCUUCGUCCGGCAGCCCCGGCGGCGUUUGCCUCCACGUGGACCGGGACCACGUUUCCGUGGAGUUUUGCUCUCUCUGCGCCAGGCGGGCGGCCAGCUCGGAGACUUGGGCGGCCGCCGCGGCGGCUCCUCCUGCUCCCUCCUUCGUCUCUAAAAUUUUCUCUUUUAGGUGCUUGCCCUGCCAGGCUCCGUUGUGUAGGGGUUAAAAGAACAGUCGUUUACCACCUCGCAACCUGUGGAUACAGCUGUCAUGGGGCAGAAGAGACGGGACCAGCUGCUGGCCACCUUUCCUGCUUUAUUUUAAAAGGUAGUAUGAGAAAAAGGGAGCAAGGUAACAGGGCAUUGGCUGUAUUUCACUUUGAAAGAACACUGAACAGGGUAAUGUUAAUAUUUUGAGCAACUAAUCCAAUCUAUCAAGAAAUUAAACAUGAUACUAAUGUGAAACAUGGCACUAUUAAAAAAAAAGCAUUUGCUUUCUCACUGGUCAUUUCAUGUAUUUGUAUUCUUGUCUGAUUGGCUAAAUUCUUCAAACUUGUAUUCAUGUAUCAGAUAAUUAGCUUCAUAAAACCCUGAAUUUUCCAAGAUAUAAUUAGGAUUGCAUUGAAGAGGAUUUUAAUUCUCUUUUAAUUGAUGCAGCUGUUCACCCUUCUAUUGUCACAUUUGCUAUGCAGGUGUACAUAUUCCCAUCUCUAAACCACUAGGAGCCUUUGUACAAGAAAAAUGGCAAGUAUUUUCUUAAGGUAGCUGCAGCAUUGCAGGAAACUAACUUCAUUUCUUGAUAUUACCCCAUACUUAAUAACAGUGGUCUUCUAAAUAAAUGUAAUAGUCCUUGCCGGAUGAUAAACUUAAAUAUGAAAAUGUGGACAAGGAGUUUCUCAUUUUAGUUUUUAAUUAUGCUUCAGUAUGUUUUAAUGGAAGCAAUUUAUUGCCCACAAUUCCUUUAUUUACUCUCAUAGAACUAGAUAGAAUUUAGUGAAGUCCCUUUUUUCUGUUGCUGAUAGCAUUUGGCCAAUGGGAGGAGAGAUUUGUGACGCUUACUUGACUGUGGUAUUUCAAGAAACAAAUGCAUUUUUAAAUUGCCUUUCACAGAAGUCAUUUAGUUAAUGUUGCAUUUAUUGUGAAAUUGAAACUUCUUUUGUAUGAUUUAAAGAAUUUGUCAGAUAAAAAAGUAUUCUGGGUACGUAACCUUGUGUGUCAUUGAAAAAUAAACUGUUGCCUUGAAUACCAUUCUCAGCAUAGAAAGUGAGUGACACAUCUGCUUAGCCGAAAGCCCAGAAAUAAGACUUGCAGGGAUUUUAGUGCCUACUGAAACAUAUUCAAGCCAAAUAGAUUUGCAAAUAUUUUGUCCUUCUUGUUAACCAGUUGAUUGAAUAUUAUUGAACAUUUCCUGAAAUUAAAGCCUUGAACUGAAUAUCCUAAUAGUACUUCAAAAAUAUGUGAAUGUUUCUGUGUAAGUAAUUCAGACGUACUUAUGAGGACAUUUAUUCUGAUUAAAAAAUGUUUAUCUUUCA